GAAAUCAGAACCAUUGAAUUAAUCUAAUGGCUCAUGCUUGUGCUGAAGAGAGUAGGAGAGAAAACGCGAGAGAGAAAGCGCGAGAGAGGAUUCGGAUUCGAUAUUUCCUCUCUCAAAUGAGCGGAAGUGCGAAGAAAUUGACACUGAGCACGUUGCUCUUCUUCUGCACGCAGCAGGUUGCAAAAUGAGAAAAGGAAAGAGACAAGUAGGUGAUAAUAGUCAACCUGUAAGAGAGAUGUUAAGGUGAACGGAUGAGAUGGACAACCAUCUACUAAAUGCAAUGGUUGAAGAAACUCGAGCAGGUAAUAGUAGGAUAGAUGGAAGUUGGACACUACAAGCUUACACAAAAAUUGUCCAAACCUUGAGAGAUUCAGGAUUAACGGAUGUUACAAAAAAAUCAUGUAAAAAAUAGACAAAAAACAAUGAAAGAUAGAUGGUGUGAAGUUCAUGACCUAUUCAAUGGUCUUAGUGGAUUUGCAUGGAGUUCAAUGACAAAGAGGUUUGGGGCUGAAGGUGAUGGUUUGGGAUGAACUAAUAAAGACUAAACCAUCGGCUGUGAAAUGGAGAGCUUCUCAAGUGAGGCACUAUGAUCUUCUUGAGGAACUUUAUGGUUCACAUCGUGCCACGGGACUCGUGGAAUGUAUUCCGAGGCAAAUUCAUCAAGCUAUGGAUAGGGGCAAUGUCAAGUUUAUCUAAGGAAAAAGGAAGUAGAGAUGGCAAACAAAAGAAAAGGCAAAAAACAUCUCAACCUCAAUCACCUGAGCCCGAAGCAUCUGAGGACAUUGCACAUAUAUUGGAUCAUAGUCUCUAUUUCUGAAAACAAAAACAAAUGACAUCAUAUGCUGAUGAUUUCCUUUUAAGGGAUCUCGUCCAUCCUAAGAUAAUGGAUUUUGAUUACUUUGUGACUAGUGGUCUUCAAUGUCAGGAAUUACUUUCCGUCCAAGGACUUGAUACUUUUGUCUCACUUGAGGGUACCUAUUAUCUGAACCUGAUAAAAGUUUUCUAUGCAAACUUAACCAUAUUGGACAAUGGUGACUUGUGUUCUGAGAUUUGUAAAGUGAAGAUUCGAGUCAAAUCACGUGAUUGAUUGGCUAUAGCUAAUUUGAAGUACGAAGGACACAAGUUUCAGCUUUCCAAACUUUCUGACAACAUUGGGUAUCAUCAUGGUCAGGCAUUGGAUGCGAUGGUUAGACCUGAAUUGCAGGGACAUAACUGUAAAAAUGCUGGUAGUUGACAAUUGAAGAUAGACUCUUGCAUUAUGUAUUCGUGCACAUUUUGAUGCCACGCGGGAGCAACUAUGCACUAGUUUUGACAGAAGACAUUUUUUUUCUUUGGGCUAUCAACCAACGGAUUCGAAUCAAAUUGGCCAUACCUCAUCUGUCAACAUAUGAAGAAGUGCAAGGUUAAUGGGAUGCCCCUUCCAUAUGGUUUACUAAUAACCAAGAUAAUGGAAUUUCAUUGCAUUCAUCUUGGUGUAGAGAAUGGGAGUUUACCUGGUUGGUCUAAUCGUUUCAAUAAAAAAAGCUUGAAGAAAUUCAAAGUCAUACAAGUUGAUGGAGUGUGGCAACAUGCCGAUCAAAACAUGUCAAUGCCUAUGGAACAUAGAGAGGAGGGUGGUGACUCAGAAAGUGCUGAAAAGCCUCAAGGUAGUCAACCUUGGGCACCUCAAGUAACUCCUGAUAGUGAUAUGUUAAUUUGAAUUUUCUCUAGUACGCAAGGUCUACAAGAUGGAUUCAGCCGGGUAACAGAUAUUGUACGUGAGGGGUUUCAAAGGGCUGACAAAAGGUUUGAUGAUUUUGAUAAACAUUUUGAAGAUCUUCAAUAUCUCUACCAGCAAGUCUCAUCCCAAUAGAAUGUAGUUUAUGUCAAUUGCUGACAUUAAACUACUCUUUUAGAUCAUAUUUGUCUACAUUUGUAGAACAAGCUUAUCUUUGUUAGUGCACUUAGAAUUUCUAUUAUGGAUUGUUAUUAUAAUGUGUUGAACCUUUGUUAUCUUUUGUUGUAUGUGGAAUGAUUGUGAUCAUCAAUUUAAGUCUGAGAGUUGUCUCUUGAAUCAUAUAAUUGAUAUACUUGUCAUAAGUAGCUAGUUAGAUGAUUAUAUCCUUCAGGCUUGUUUAAAAAAAUUACAUAAAGGUGUGGUUUUUGCAAUACAAGCCAUGACCAUCUUUGACUUAAGAGGAAUUGAUAGUUGAUUAUCAAUCUUUCGAUUAUUUGAAAUUCUUGCUUGUAUUGGUUAUUGUUGUCACAGAGAGGUGUCUAAAACUCAAAUUGUAUUUGAAAAAUAAGUCGUUAUAUUUGAGUAUUUAUCCAAUGAAAAAUAAUUAGUAUAAAUUUUAGAAGUUAAUAAACUGUGUAUACAGUGGUUUGUAGCCAUAUUAGAGAGUGUAAUAAACUUAAUAUUAUUAUGAUUAUAUAAAGAUACUUGAGUAAGUUUUGGAAAACACUACACUAGUGUUAUGCAGCUGAGACACUGUUGGCAUUAAAGUAUUUUCACAUGAUGGGCAUAGUGUGCAGGAUUUGAAGCCAGAGAAUGUGCUUGCGAGGGAGGAUGGGCAUGUUAUGCUUUCAGAUUGUGAUCUUUCGAUCAAAUGUGGCGUUCCCAAGUUAUUAAGGAGUAAGACCAGAUUGGAACGUACUAUCAAGAGUACCAAAGAGAUCUGCACCAGCCUGCAACUGUUGAAGGAAUUAAUUCUAUUGUCCUACAUCUAGACAAAAAGACAGUGACAGUGGCAACCUAUUCAUGGAUAAAGAUGGAUAAAUACACCCCCUCAUUUUAAUAAAGUCACAUGUAUUUAUCUUAAAGUUUUAUAUUUUGCAGCCUUAAAAUUUUGUAUUUGAAUGUGAAGGUAAACAAAUGUAUCCCCUUAUUCUAAUAAAACCAUAAAUAUUUAUUUUAAAAUUUUAUAUUUUAUACCUCUUA